rnacentral:rRNA from 1 species
AGAGUUUGAUCAUGGCUCAGAAUCAACGCUGGCGGCGCGCCUAACACAUGCAAGUCGAACGAGAAAGUGGAGCAAUCCAUGAGUAAAGUGGCGUACGGGUGAGUAACACGUGGAUCAUCUGCCCUUUUGUGGGGAAUACCGAUGGGAAACCGUCGACAAUACCGCAUAAGCCCGAGAGGGGAAAGCAGCAAUGCGCAGAAGGAGGAGUCCGCGGUCGAUUAGCUAGUUGGUAGGGUAAUGGCCUACCAAGGCUGUGAUCGAUAGCCGGCCUGAGAGGGCACACGGCCACACUGGCACUGAAACACGGGCCAGACUCCUACGGGAGGCAGCAGUGGGGAAUCUUGCACAAUGGGGGCAACCCUGAUGCAGCGACGCCGCGUGAGCGAUGAAGCCCUUCGGGGUGUAAAGCUCUUUCGGCAGGGAAGAUUAUGACGGUACCUGCAGAAGCAGCUGCGGCUAACUACGUGCCAGCAGCCGCGGUAAUACGUAGGCAGCAAGCGUUGUUCGGAGUUACUGGGCGUAAAGGGUGCGUAGGCGGCCCUGUAAGUAUGGUGUGAAAUCUCCCGGCUUAACUGGGAGGGUGCGCUAUAGACUGCGGGGCUCGAGUGUGGGAGAGGAAAGUGGAAUUCCUGGUGUAGCGGUGAAAUGCGUAGAUAUCAGGAGGAACACCGGUGGUGUAAACGGCUUUCUGGACCAUAACUGACGCUGAGGCACGAAAGCGUGGGUAGCAAACAGGAUUAGAUACCCUAGUAGUCC